rnacentral:rRNA from 1 species
GAUGAACGCUGACAGAAUGCUUAACACAUGCAAGUCAACUGUGGCGGACGGGUGAGUAACGCGUAAAGAACUUGCCUCACAGCUAGGGACAACAUUUGGAAACGGAUGCUAAUACCUGAUACUGUGAGAGAGCUUUGCGUCCCAUUAGCUAGUUGGAGAGGUAACGGCUCACCAAGGCGAUGAUGGGUAGCCGGCCUGAGAGGGAGAUAGGCCACAAGGGGACUGAGACACGGCCCGUACUCCUACGGGGGGCAGCAGUGGGGAAGAUUGGACAAUGGACCAAAGUCUGAACCAGCAAUUCUGUGUGUAAGAUGAAGUUUUCGGAAUGUAAAGUGCUUUCAGUUGGGAAGCGGUACCAACAGAAGAAGUGACGGCUAAAUACGUGCCAGCAGCCGCGGUAAUUC